rnacentral:snRNA from 1 species
GUGCUCACUUACACAGCACAUGCAUUAAAACUGGAAGAAAAAAAUAGAUUAGCAUAGCUCCUACACAAGGAUGACAUGUAAAUUCAUGAAGCAUUCUGUAAUUUU